GACGAACGCUGGCGGCGUGCUUAACACAUGCAAGUCGAACGGAAAGGCCCUGCUUUUGUGGGGUGCUCGAGUGGCGAACGGGUGAGUAACACGUGAGUAACCUGCCCUUGACUUUGGGAUAACUUCAGGAAACUGGGGCUAAUACCGGAUAGGAGCUCCUGCUGCAUGGUGGGGGUUGGAAAGUUUCGGCGGUUGGGGAUGGACUCGCGGCUUAUCAGCUGGUUGGUGGGGUAGUGGCUUACCAAGGCUUUGACGGGUAGCCGGCCUGAGAGGGUGACCGGGCACAUUGGGACUGAGAUACGGCGCAGACUGCAACGGGAGGCAGCAGGGGGGAGUAUUGCACAAUGGGCGGAAGCCUGAUGCAGCAACGCCGCGUGCGGGAUGACGGCCUUCGGGUUGUAAACCGCUUUCGCCUGUGACGAGGCGUGAGUGACGGUAAUGGGUAAAGAAGCACCGGCUAACUACGUG
rnacentral:rRNA from 1 species